GAGACGUUUUUUCUUGCCCUUCGAUUUUUUACCCAUAGUGGGCCGAUGUAACCCGCGCUGGCUUAAAAUCUUGUCCAUCCGUCGCCUCGGUGCGGGCUACAAUGGUCGAGACAGUGGGAUGCAACGCCGAGAGGCGACGCUAAUCUCCGAAACUCGAUCGUAGUUCGGAUUGCGGGCUGAAACUCGCCCGCAUGAAGCUGGAUUCGGUAGUAAUCGCGCCUCAGAAGGGCGCGGUGAAUACGUCCCUGCUCCUUGCACACACCGCCCGUCAAAGCACCCGAGUGAGGUCCGGAUGAGGCCGGCAUCCGCCGGUCGAAUCUGGGCUUCGCAAGGGGGCUUAAGUCGUAACAAGGUAGCCGUAGGGGAAUCUGCGGCUG
rnacentral:ncRNA from 1 species